AUUGAACGCUGGCGGCAUGCUUUACACAUGCAAGUCGAACGGUAACAGGGUGCUUGCACCGCUGACGAGUGGCGAACGGGUGAGUAAUACAUCGGAAUGUACCCAGUAAUGGGGGAUAACGCUUCGAAAGGAGUGCUAAUACCGCAUACGCCCUGAGGGGGAAAGUGGGGGACCGCAAGGCCUCACGUUAUUGGAGCAGCCGAUGGCUGAUUAGCUAGUUGGUGAGGUAAAGGCUCACCAAGGCGACGAUCAGUAGCGGGUCUUAGAGGACGAUCCGCCACACUGGAACUGAGACACGGUCCAGACUCCUACGGGAGGCAGCAGUGGGGAAUCUUGGACAAUGGGCGAAAGCCUGAUCCAGCAAUGCCGCGUGCGUGAAGAAGGCCUUCGGGCUGUAAACUGCUUUUGUACGGAACGAAACGGUGAGCUCUAAUACAGUUUGCUAAUGACGGUACCGUAAGAAUAAGCACCGGCUAACUACGUGCCAGCCGCCGCAGUAAGAC
rnacentral:rRNA from 1 species